GGGUAUAUAGCUCAGUGUAGAGUGCACGCCUAAUAUGCACAAGGUCCUGGGUUCAAUUUCCAGUACUCCCA
rnacentral:tRNA from 1 species